rnacentral:rRNA from 1 species
AUUGAACGCUGGCGGCAGGCCUAACACAUGCAAGUCGAGCGAGCGGCGGACGGGUGAGUAAUGUCUGGGAAACUGCCUGCUGGAGGGGGAUAACUACUGGAAACGGUAGCUAAUACCGCAUACCAUCAGAUGUGCCCAGAUGGGAUUAGCUAGUAGGUGGGGUAACGGCUCACCUAGGCGACGAUCCCUAGCUGGUCUGAGAGGAUGACCAGCCCCUCUGGAACGGAGACACGGUCCAGACUCCUAGGGGAGGCAGCAGUGGGGAAUAUUGCACAAUGGUCGCAAGCGUGAUGCAGCCAUGCCGCGUGUGGGAAGAAGGCCUUCGGGUGGUAAAGCACUUUCGGCGGGGAGGCGUUAUCCGCAGAAGAAGCACCGGCUAACUCCGUGCCAGCAGCCGCGGUAAUUC